GAUGAACGCUGGCGGCGUGCCUAAUACAUGCAAGUCGAGCGAACAGACGAGGAGCUUGCUCCUUUGACGUUAGCGGCGGACGGGUGAGUAACACGUGGAUAACCUACCUAUAAGACUGGGAUAACUUCGGGAAACCGGAGCUAAUACCGGAUAACAUGUUGAACCGCAUGGUUCAACAGUGAAAGACGGUCUUGCUGUCACUUAUAGAUGGAUCCGCGCCGCAUUAGCUAGUUGGUAAGGUAACGGCUUACCAAGGCGACGAUACGUAGCCGACCUGAGAGGGUGAUCGGCCACACUGGAACUGAGACACGGUCCAGACUCCUACGGGAGGCAGCAGUAGGGAAUCUUCCGCAAUGGGCGAAAGCCUGACGGAGCAACGCCGCGUGAGUGAUGAAGGUCUUCGGAUCGUAAAACUCUGUUAUUAGGGAAGAACAUACGUGUAAGUAACUGUGCACGUCUUGACGGUACCUAAUCAGAAAGCCACGGCUAACUACGUGCCAGCCGCCGCGGUAA
rnacentral:rRNA from 1 species